GAGAUCUAGUUUAGCUGGGGGCGGUGGUGAAAUUGAGUUUAGGUCUUAGGUUGAUAGACUAUUUGUUUAUAGCAUUUAUUAUAGGUGUGGUUUUUAUUACAUGGAUGCAUGCACACAUGCGUGCAUAUGGGUGUGAAUGAAUUUAAGCCUGGCAGAGUCAAUAAGUAUAAGGGGUUCAUGGUAAAUUUUAUGACAGUGAUCACCAGCUGGAAAAAGAAGGGAUUUGUUUCAUUUUGACAAGCCUCAACUGCAUCUAUGAUGUUUCCUGCUGUACCUGCAGCGGUUCAUACAACCUUACUAAACACAACAAGCUGCAAAAGAACAAUAUGAUGCAAAGAUCUAACAUUAAACUCCAUAGUAACAUCUCAUUAAAAAAAUUGCCUGAUUUAUCAUUUUCCUAGGAAACUGCUAGAGGCCAGUGGCCAGCACGGUGCCAACCCAUCUGGAAGCUCACAACCACUCAGUGUUAGAUAAGGUUGUAAUAAGAUAUAGUCAAAGCCUGGCAACUAAUCUGAUAUUUCACCUCUGUGAGAGAUAGGAAAGAUAUAAAAACGUAUUAUGAGUGGGCACUAAGAGGAUUAGAGUAUGAAAACGGAUGUGUGCCGGCGUUUUAAUCCACUCAUGCUUAACCCUUUCAAGCUGCCCAAUCUGCUGCACACAAACAAUAAUUAUUUAGUUUUGCCUUUGAUGGAGCCAUUGCUCUUGUUACAGGCAGGCAACUCUCACCACACAUUCACACACACUUCAUUUACACUCCAGCCUCACAUUCAGCGUGUUUUUGUGAAGGAAAUGAGAACAGUGAACUGACAGAGCUCAGGUUUGAUUAAGAUUCUCUGUCCUGUGACGGCGCUGCUGACAACACUGCUCUGUUUCCUGUGAAUUACUCCUAAAUGAAGAUUAGUUAGUUUAGCAGCUGUGUGCGUGCUGGAUUUGUUGAGACUGAACUUGUUUAUGUUUGGUCACAGGCAUGCAAAUAUGUGUCUUAGUUUCACAAAUAAAUUUAUAAUGCUCUCAUUGCAAAAUUAAUCUCUUUGCAUGUUUUUAUCAAAAAGAAAGUAAACAACAGGGUUUUAUAUACAACAUGGGCAAGGUGGCCGGGGUGUUUUUUUCUGUAAACCGUUCACAUUUUUCUUUGUUGUUCUACAUUUCAGCUCACUGGCAGAAGAAAAAGGAGCAGAAGCUGAAGACAUUAGUUGAGAUCUAAAAUGUUUCCUGCAUAUUUAUUUUUUAUUGGCAUUAUUUUUGAUUUUGUAGAUGUUUAGAUCUUAAUGAUUUGCAACCUGCCACUCUGUGCAGCAAAGGUCCUAACAUCAGGGACCAAACCACGGAUGGCUUUGUCAAUAACUAACAGCCUUUGUAUAUGGGGUGGACGCUGUACCUCUGCACCAUGCGUUGCGCCAAUAUGGUCUAUAUUGACAUAUCCAUCAUAUCAUCCCUGCAUCACAGAGGCACUAUUUGAUUCAGAUCUGCCUACUAUGGAGGCUACUGGAUCUUUUUGCAUAUUUAAGUAACCAGUUUGAGAUGAUUUGAGCAUUGUGACAUGGUGCAUUAUCCCACUGGUGGUCAUAAACUGACAUUCCAUUGGUAUUGAGGGGCCCAAAGUGUGUCAAGAAAUAUCCUCUACACCAUGACAACACCACUACCAUCCUGGAAAACGAUCCAUGUGAGACACAGUCAUGCUUUCGUGUUUACACCAAAUUCUGACCCUACUGUCUGAAUGCCACGGAUGACACCGAGACUCACUGGACCAGGCAGUGCUUUUUAAAUCUAUAUUUGUCCGAUUUUGGUGAGCUCGACUUUUUGUAGCCUCAGUUUCCUAUCUAAAAUACUGCUGCUCACUGGAUAUUAUCUGGUUUUGGACCAUUCUUUGAAACUAAAAGAGAUAGCUAUGAGAUAAUCCCAGUAGAUCGACAUUUUCUGAAGUACUCAUAGGAUCCUCUCUCUCAGUAAACAACCAUUUCACAUUAAAAGUCAAUAAAAUCCCCAAUUUGAAGUGUGUAAAUGUUUCACCAGUGGAAUAUUUUACACAAACGAAUAUUUUUUUACGUAUUUGUAUUUUGUUUAACUGGUGUCCUUUUUCCCACUAUAAAUACAGGUCAGUGAACACAACUUCUGAAAUCUGUUGCUGCGCAUGCUCAAUUUGUACACACGUAGCAGGGUAUUUAAAAAAGACGAAUAUCUCCCCUACAUCAUUUUUAAAAUUAAGAUCGUACACACGUGAGGUUUUUCAGAAAAGUUUUCAUCCACACCAACCCGCAGAAAGACGCCACUGAGCGUUGUGUUAAACACUCCAGACACAUGGGAGCAGUGAGGGGAGGGGCGUUGCCAGGACAACAGACUCAACCAAUCACAGUAAGAGCUCCAGUUUGGUCUGCGUUUUUCGGUUGGCUCACCUCUCUGCCGUUUCCAAUGUCACAACAAGCCUAGGUACACUGUUUAAUAUGGUUGGAUAGAGGACAGACACAAAACAUGCCGGGAGGAAUCUUCUAAGAUCUAAUCGGCUGUCAAGAAGAGAUCUGGACAGGACAAGCUGAUAUCCUGGAGUGAGCCCACCUGUGGAAACAGAGAAGUAGCUCUACAGGGGAUCAGUUCUGUAAGAGAACAGAGUAGGGGGCAAUAACAUGGCGGAGACUUUCAGGAGGCAUUGGGAGCAGUCAAAAUGAAGUCAUCACUCUGGGAGAGACAGCUGUUUCACGGGAUAUGAGCAGUCCAGAACAGGAGUAGGCCCGUUCUGUCAUCCAGCUCUGCCCUGAAGGGUGGCACCCAGCAGCCCACCAAUCGCUGCUCGGUGUCGGGACAUGACCCUUUUGACAGCAAGCUCUGAGAAAGCGGUUGUACCUUACAGAAGGACAUGACCAUUAAUAAACUGAAGUCAGCGGUGGGUGGCGAAGGCAGGAAGAAAUAACAGGUGUCAAUCUUUAUUAAAUGCGAUCUGCCACCUUUCAGAUUUCUAAAUUACACCCCAAUUAAGAAGAAAAAUGAUGGCGAGGAUGCUCCCUGAAUUUGACAUCCUAAUUAAUUACUUCCUUUGUGUGAAGAAUUGACUUAUACUUCAUGUCACCUUGGAAUCCUUGGGCCUAAUCUGAAAUGCAAAAUUCACCCACAGAGCUAAAAUAAAAGUUUUCAAUGAAGACAGAACUCCUGACAAUUUCUAAUUUGGUGAGGUAAUGACAUCAUUAGCAUUUGCUCUCUUAUUCUGUAUAAUAACCCAAUAACUGGAUGGAGAAAAGCAUUCCUAAAUUACAUUGUUAAAUAACAGACUACACACUGGUUUCGAAUUAGCGUCAGAUUUGAUCGUGAGGCAAAAAAAACAAAACCCUCAUCAUUCACGAUGGCAGAACUCACCCAGGACAUAAUUGGCUUUACUGUGAAAUGGACUCGAGUUUUAUUAUCAAAUCAGUUGUGGUGCAUUAAAGCAGUGUCUUUCAUCCUGUCCUCUCAUUUGUUAUUUAGUUCCCUCUGGCCAUCCCUCCAGCAAUUCCAUCCCAAAUUGUAAGAGGCAAUUUCACUCUUACAGUCAGUCACAAGUUGGUUGCGAAUGGUUUACUGUGGGGGAAGAAUGUGAAGAAAAUAAAUUGGAGAAGAAAAUGGUUCUGUGACUGCUUUGCUCUUCUCAAAAUAAAUUUACAAAGGCACAAUUAUGACAUUCUUUACAGGCAACACAACAGAUUUUUGCAUAAAUUAGGCUUUUCCAAGUAAUUUGUGUCCCUGUGAGUAAGCGGGUGAUAGUUUGCAGCAUUGCAGAUGGCUUGAUGUGAAAGUGCUUGUGAUCAUGUCUGCAACAUGACAAGUGUGGGGCAACUCUGAGCAUCAUUAGAAGGCUUGGUUUUCUGUAUGUUUGUUAUUCAAAGUAUCUCAUGCUUGCUGGAAUUAUAUCAUUCCUAGUUCGUAGUCAGUUUGCAAUGUGAUGAACCUGUGAAGAACUAAUAGGGUGGUCCAGAAAUCCCUGAAUAUGUAAGGGACAGAUACAAAUGUAGCUUUGUAGCUUCCUGAAAUCAUGCUAUACAUUUUAACAUUUCAUCUCAUUUUAGUGGCUACUUCAAAUAAAUGUAAAAAAUAAAUUUAAAAUAAAUUUGUA